rnacentral:rRNA from 1 species
AUGGCGUCCGUGAAGCUCGCCGCCGCCGCGCUGGCCGUCGUGCUCGCGUGUGCUGCGCUCGCCGCGACGCCGGCGGCGACGUAUGCGGAGUACCGGCCGGAGCCCGAGCCCUGCAAGACGCAGGCCAUGUACUUCAAGAACUGCCUCCGCCUCGGCCACUGCGAGAAGUGCUGCUUCGGGGUGGUGGCCAACCCGGCGUGCUACUGCGAGGUGGAGCGGGAGGCGCUGAUCGAGUGCGCGCCUGGCCACCACUGCAGUCGCGCCGACAAGAAGGUCAAGAUCGCCGAGAUGAACCUCCCCUGCAUGAAGAACCUCAAGUGCAAGCACGCGUGA